CUUGGUCAUUUAGAGGAAGUAAAAGUCGUAACAAGGUCUCCGUUGGUGAACCAGCGGAGGGAUCAUUACAGAGUUAUCCAACUCCCAAACCCAUGUGAACUUAUCUCUUUGUUGCCUCGGCGCAAGCUACCCGGGACCUCGCGCCCCGGGGGGCCCGCCGGCGGACAAACCAAACUCUGUUAUCCUCGUUGAUUAUCUGAGUGUCUUAUUUAAUAAGUCAAAACUUUCAACAACGGAUCUCUUGGUUCUGGCAUCGAUGAAGAACGCAGCGAAAUGCGAUAAGUAAUGUGAAUUGCAGAAUUCAGUGAAUCAUCGAAUCUUUGAACGCACAUUGCGCCCAUUAGUAUUCUAGUGGGCAUGCCUGUUCGAGCGUCAUUUCAACCCCUAAGCACAGCUUAUUGUUGGGACUCUACGGCUUCGUAGUUCCCCAAAGACAUUGGCGGAGUGGCAGCAGUCCUCUGAGCGUAGUAAUUCUUUAUCUCGCUUUUGUUAGGCGCUGCCCCCCCGGCCGUAAAACCCCCAAUUUUUUCUGGUUGACCUCGGAUCAGGUAGGAGUACCCGCUGAACUUAAGCAUAUCAAUAAGCGGAGGA
rnacentral:rRNA from 1 species